rnacentral:tRNA from 1 species
GGUCCCAUGGUGUAAUGGUGAGCACACAGGACUUUGAAUCCUGAGAUCCGAGUUCGAUCCUCGGUGGGACCU